UUACACUCCUGCGGGAGGCAGCAGUGGGGAAUAUUGGACAAUGGGCGCAAGCCUGAUCCAGCCAUGCCGCGUGAGUGAUGAAGGCCCUAGGGUUGUAAAGCUCUUUCACCGGUGAAGAUAAUGACGGUAACCGGAGAAGAAGCCCCGGCUAACUUCGUGCCAGCAGCCGCGGUAAUACGAAGGGGGCUAGCGUUGUUCGGAUUUACUGGGCGUAAAGCGCACGUAGGCGGACUAUUAAGUCAGGGGUGAAAUCCCGGGGCUCAACCCCGGAACUGCCUUUGAUACUGGUAGUCUUGAGUUCGAGAGAGGUGAGUGGAAUUCCGAGUGUAGAGGUGAAAUUCGUAGAUAUUCGGAGGAACACCAGUGGCGAAGGCGGCUCACUGGCUCGAUACUGACGCUGAGGUGCGAAAGCGUGGGGAGCAAACAGGAUUAGAAACCCCUGUAGUCCCAUGA
rnacentral:rRNA from 1 species